rnacentral:rRNA from 1 species
CCUACGGGAGGCAGCAGUGAGGAAUUUUCCGCAAUGGACGAAAGCCUGACGGAGCGACGCCGUGUGGGUGAUGAAGUCCUUCGGGAUGUAAAGCCCUGUCGGGGGGGACGAUAUUGACGGUACCCUCAGAGGAAGCCACGGCUAACUACGUGCCAGCAGCCGCGGUAAUACGUAGGUGGCGAGCGUUGUCCGGAAUCAUUGGGCGUAAAGCGCGCGUAGGUGGUUUCUUAAGUCGGGUGUAAAAUUCUUCGGCCCAACCGGGGCAUGCACCCGAAACUGAGGAGCUGGAGAGAGUCAGAGGGAAGCGGAACUUGCGGUGUAGCGGUGAAAUGCGUAGAUAUCGCAAGGACCACCAGUGGCGAAGGCGGCUUCCUGGCCCGCACCUGACGCUCAAGCGCGAAAGCGUGGGGAGCGAACGGGAUUAGAUCCCCCUGUAGU